GCAGUGCCGCCCGCGCCGCCGCGACGCUCGCACGCGAGUGAAGUGAUGGUUCAGUGCUCUUGAUUAUUGGAUUCACACUUUUUCCCGUUGACACAGGUGUGCGUGGAGACAGGCGCUGCAUGUGCGGUGAUGCGCCGCGAGCGCCCGGGAUCGACAUAUGCAUGCCGCCCGCGCCCCCGGUGUGGUUGUGAUGACAUGGUGGUGGGCGCUUGCGCUCCUAGCGCUGGCGACUCCCGCCCGCCCCGCGCCCCGGGCGGGCAACGGUGAGCUAAUUUACAGUAAGCAUCACUUUGA